UGGGGAAUUUUGGACAAUGGACGCAAGUCUGAUCCAGCAAUGCCGCGUGCAGGACGAAGGCCUUCGGGUUGUAAACUGCUUUUGUACGGAACGAAACGGUCUUCUUUAAUACAGAGGGCUAAUGACGGUACCGUAAGAAUAAGCACCGGCUAACUACGUGCCAGCAGCCGCGGUAAUACGUAGGGUGCGAGCGUUAAUCGGAAUUACUGGGCGUAAAGCGUGCGCAGGCGGUUAUAUAAGUCAGAUGUGAAAUCCCCGGGCUCAACCUGGGACCUGCAUUUGAGACUGUAUAGCUAGAGUACGGUAGAGGGGGAUGGGAUUCCGCGUGUAGCAGUGAAAUGCGUAGAUAUGCGGAGGAACACCGAUGGCGAAGGCAAUCCCCUGGACCUGUACUGACGCUCAUGCACGAAAGCGUGGGGAGCAAACAGG
rnacentral:rRNA from 1 species